rnacentral:rRNA from 2 species
GCAGUCGAGCGGACAGAUGGGAGCUUGCUCCCUGAUGUUAGCGGCGGACGGGUGAGUAACACGUGGGUAACCUGCCUGUAAGACUGGGAUAACUCCGGGAAACCGGGGCUAAUACCGGAUGGUUGUCUGAACCGCAUGGUUCAGACAUAAAAGGUGGCUUCGGCUACCACUUACAGAUGGACCCGCGGCGCAUUAGCUAGUUGGUGAGGUAACGGCUCACCAAGGCGACGAUGCGUAGCCGACCUGAGAGGGUGAUCGGCCACACUGGGACUGAGACACGGCCCAGACUCCUACGGGAGGCAGCAGUAGGGAAUCUUCCGCAAUGGACGAAAGUCUGACGGAGCAACGCCGCGUGAGUGAUGAAGGUUUUCGGAUCGUAAAGCUCUGUUGUUAGGGAAGAACAAGUGCCGUUCAAAUAGGGCGGCACCUUGACGGUACCUAACCAGAAAGCCACGGCUAACUACGUGCCAGCAGCCGCGGUAAUACGUAGGUGGCAAGCGUUGUCCGGAAUUAUUGGGCGUAAAGGGCUCGCAGGCGGUUUCUUAAGUCUGAUGUGAAAGCCCCCGGCUCAACCGGGGAGGGUCAUUGGAAACUGGGGAACUUGAGUGCAGAAGAGGAGAGUGGAAUUCCACGUGUAGCGGUGAAAUGCGUAGAGAUGUGGAGGAACACCAGUGGCGAAGGCGACUCUCUGGUCUGUAACUGACGCUGAGGAGCGAAAGCGUGGGGAGCGAACAGGAUUAGAUACCCUGGUAGUCCACGCCGUAAACGAUGAGUGCUAAGUGUUAGGGGGUUUCCGCCCCUUAGUGCUGCAGCUAACGCAUUAAGCACUCCGCCUGGGGAGUACGGUCGCAAGACUGAAACUCAAAGGAAUUGACGGGGGCCCGCACAAGCGGUGGAGCAUGUGGUUUAAUUCGAAGCAACGCGAAGAACCUUACCAGGUCUUGACAUCCUCUGACAAUCCUAGAGAUAGGACGUCCCCUUCGGGGGCAGAGUGACAGGUGGUGCAUGGUUGUCGUCAGCUCGUGUCGUGAGAUGUUGGGUUAAGUCCCGCAACGAGCGCAACCCUUGAUCUUAGUUGCCAGCAUUCAGUUGGGCCCCUAAGGGGAC